UACGUAGGGGGGCUAGCGUUGUCCGGAAUCAUUGGGCGUAAAGCGCGUGUAGGCGGUUCGGUAAGUCCGCUGUGAAAGUCGGGGGGCUCAACCCUCGGAUGCCGGUGGAUACUGUCGAGCUUGAGUACGGAAGAGGCGAGUGGAAUUCCUGGUGUAGCGGUGAAAUGCGCAGAUAUCAGGAGGAACACCAAUUGCGAAGGCAGCUCGCUGGGCGUUACUGACGCUGAGACGCGAAAGCGUGGGGAGCAAACAGG
rnacentral:rRNA from 1 species